AAUCAUUCAUCUUUGUCGUCGUAUUUGCCAUUGCGUUCUCACUUGUUUAUCACAUUAGCUUGCACUAUUUAUUUUUCAUGCAUAUCUCAACCCAACUGCAAAAAAUGCCAGCUACUUUUGGAAUGAAGCUUCGUAGAAUUUCGCUUGUCGCAUGAAGAAAUAGUGCAACAUCCAUGUCCAUCAGGUGGUAACACCUUGCAACAUGAAUUACCAGACGCACGAUCUGUUUAUUACCUGCGCCGAAACAAUCAAUUUGAGGUAUCCAAUUAUGUUGUAUAACCUUUACUUUGGUCAAAAAAUAUUUUAACUGUUUAAACACAUUGCCUAAAUUCAAACAAUUAAUGUACAUACAUGUUGGAAAGCAUGUGCCUACAAUUUGGCAUUAUAUUGCGUAUUAACGUGUGUACGAGGGACUAUAUACGUUGUCCAGAAUGCACAACUACGCUUGGGCUUAUAAUUAAGCGCAAGAGGUUGUAUACCAAUGUUGUGGAAGUUGGAUAAGUUUAGAUGUAUUAACGUAAUUGUUAAGAAUUAUGUAAAGCAUGUGGAGUGAAUGAGAUCUAUUUUUUUUUAAAAAGGGUUAAGGUGCAGAUAGGCCCCUCAAGUGGAGGCCCUUAGAGCGUUUCAGUCCCCUUACUAACUGUGUGUGCAAAUUGGCCCCCGAACUCAAAAAAACGGUGCAGAUCGGCCCCUCUGACUUAACACCGUUAUGGGCCGUUAGUCAAGGGGGCGAUCUGCACUGUUUUUUCGGAGUUCAGGGGCUAAUCUGCACCUUUUAACUUUUAAUAAAUUCAUCUCUCUCGCUCAAAAUUUGAUCGUCGUUGUCGUUGAUUCAAGCUCCGGCGAGGCCGG
rnacentral:lncRNA from 1 species